rnacentral:rRNA from 1 species
UACAGAGGUCUCAAGCGUUGUUCGGAUUCAUUGGGCGUAAAGGGUGCGUAGGCGGCGCGGUAAGUCGGGUGUGAAAUCUUGGAGCUUAACUCCGAAACUGCAUUCGAUACUGCCGUGCUUGAGGACUGGAGAGGAGACUGGAAUUUACGGUGUAGCGGUGAAAUGCGUAGAUAUCGUAAGGAAGACCAGUGGCGAAGGCGGGUCUCUGGACAGUUACUGACGCUGAGGCACGAAGGCGUGGGGAGCAAACGGG